GCGCCCGUAGCUCAGCUGGACAGAGCAUCGGAUUUCUAAUCCGAGGGUCCCAGGUUCGAGUCCUGGCGGGCGCACCA
rnacentral:tRNA from 1 species